rnacentral:lncRNA from 1 species
GUACUCGGACUUUGAGUCUUACUCAACUUGACAUUACUUUGUAUCGGUAAUUCUCCCUUCUUCGAGUUUUCCAUACUAAAACGUUUUAGUACUUUAUCUAAGUAAGCGUUCUGACUAAGUCCUAUUAGUCUCUUACUUCGUUCUCUCACUAUCCUUAUUCCCAAAAUAUAAGAAGCCUCUCCGAGGUCCUUCAUAGCGAAGCACUUCCCGAGCCAGGACUUAACCUCCUGCAGAGUCGGGAUGUCGUUUCCUAUGAGUAAUAUGUCAUCGACAUAUAGAACGAGGAAGCUUACUAUACUCCCACUGGCUUUGACAUAUACACAUGAUUCAUCUUCGCUUCGUACAAAUCCAAACUCUUUGACUUUCUCAUCGAAGCAAAGAUUCCAUCUGCGAGAUGCUUGCUUAAGUCCAUAAAUGGACUUCUCAAGCUUACACACUCUAUUUGGAUGCUUCGGAUCAACAAAACCCUCUGGCUGAGCCAUGUAAACAUCCUCAGCCAACUUCCCAUUAAGGAAAGUGGUUUUGACAUCCAUUUGCCAAAUCUCAUAAUCAUGAAAUGCGGCAAUUGCUAGCAUCACUCUAAUAGAUUUUAUCUUGGCAAUUGGUGAAAAGGUCUCUUCAUAGUCAACUCCGGGAGUUUGAGUAAAGCCCUUCGCAACCAAUCGCGCUUUAUAUGUGUGUACAUUUCCAUCCACGUCCGUCUUCUUCUUGAAGAUCCACUAGCAUCACUCUAACAGAUUUUAUCUUCGCAACUGGUGAGAAGGUCUCAUCAUAGUCAACUCCGGGAGUUUGAGUAAAGCCCUUCGU